UACGGAGGAUCCAAGCGUUAUCCGGAUUUAUUGGGUUUAAAGGGUGCGUAGGCGGCUUAUUAAGUCAGGGGUGAAAGACGGUGGCUCAACCAUCGCAGUGCCUUUGAUACUGAUGAGCUUGAAUACACUAGAGGUAGGCGGAAUGUGACAAGUAGCGGUGAAAUGCAUAGAUAUGUCACAGAACACCAAUUGCGAAGGCAGCUUACUAUGGUGUCAUUGACGCUGAGGCACGAAAGCGUGGGGAUCAAACAGGAUUAGAAACCCCAGUAGUCC
rnacentral:rRNA from 1 species